rnacentral:rRNA from 1 species
AUUGAACGCUGGCGGCAUGCCUAACACAUGCAAGUCGAACGGCAGCAUGGUCUAGCUUGCUAGACUGAUGGCGAGUGGCGGACGGGUGAGUAACGCGUAGGAAUAUGCCUUAAAGAGGGGGAUAACUUGGGGAAACUCAAGCUAAUACCGCAUAAGCUCUAAGGAGUAAAGCUGGGGACCUUCGGGCCUGGCGCUUUAAGAAUAGCCUGCGUACGAUUAGCUAGUUGGUGGGGUAAGGGCCUACCAAGGCGACGAUCGUUAGCUGGUCUGAGAGGAUGGCCAGCCACACUGGGACUGAGACACGGCCCAGACUCCUACGGGAGGCAGCAGUGGGGAAUAUUGGACAAUGGGGGCAACCCUGAUCCAGCAAUGCCGCGUGUGUGAAGAAGGCCUGAGGGUUGUAAAGCACUUUCAGUGGGAGGAGGG